rnacentral:pre_miRNA from 1 species
UCUUAUGGAUGAGCAAAGACAGUAGUUUCUCGAGAUAGAAUCUAUUCUUGUUGAAGAGGCUAUGAG